CGUAUAUUAAAGUUGUUGCGGUUAAAAAGCUCGUAGUUGGAGUUCUGCCAGGUGCCGCCUGUCCGCCCCAGUGGUGAGUACGUGGCGCGCAUUUGGCCCUUUCAAGGGGAGCGUAUUGCACUUAACUGUGUGGUGCGGGAUCCUUGACUUUUACUUUGAGGAAAUAAGAGUGUUCCAAGCAGGCUCUCGUCGUGCAUAGCUCAGCAUGGAAUAAUAGCAUUGGAUCUCGAUUCCAAACUGUUGGUUGUAGGAAACGAGAUAAUGAUGAAGAGGGAUAGUUGGGGGCAUUCGUAUUUAACUGUCAGAGGUGAAAUUCUUGGAUUUGUUAAAGACGAACUACUGCGAAAGCAUCUGCCAUGGAUGUUUUCAUUGAUCAAGAACGAAAGUUAGGGGAUCGAAGACGAUCAGAUACCGUCCUAGUCUUAACUAUAAACCAUGCCGGCUAGAGAUCGGAGGUUGUUCGUUUUGUGACGCCUUCAGCAUCUUGAGAGAAAUCAAAGCCUUUGGGUUCCGGGGGGAGUAUGGUCGCAAGGCUGAAACUUAAAGG
rnacentral:rRNA from 1 species